GACGAACGCUGGCGGCGUGCUUAACACAUGCAAGUCGAACGGAAAGGCCCUGCUUUUGUGGGGUGCUCGAGUGGCGAACGGGUGAGUAACACGUGAGUAACCUGCCCUUGACUUUGGGAUAACUUCAGGAAACUGGGGCUCAUACCGGAUAGGAGCUCCUGCUGCAUGGUGUGCGUUGGAAAGUUUCGGCGGUUGGGUCUGGACUCGCGGCUUCUCAGCUUGUUGGUGGGGUAGUUGCUGACCAAGGCUUUGACGGGUAGCCGGCCUGAGAGGGUGAACGGCCACAUUGGGACUGAGAUACGGCCCAGACUGCUACGGGAGGCAGUAGGGGGGAAUAUGGCACAAUGGGCGGAAGCGUGAUGCAGCAACGCUGCGUGCGGGAUGACGGCCUUCGGGGUGUAAACAGCUGUCGCAGGAGACGAAGAGGGAGUGACGGUAAUGGGUAAAGAAGCAACGGCUAACUACGUG
rnacentral:rRNA from 1 species